GCAAACUCUCUCCAGAUUGUCUGCUAAAUUGCGUAAAUUUCGGAAGAGCGGUUUGGAUUUGGAAUUCACCAAGAAUGGCUGCGAAGACAAUGAUGAUGAGGAAGGAGGCGACAGCGUAGGGAAACGGAGCGGCGGCGACAGCCGCCGCCGAGCAAAG